AUUGAACGCUGGCGGCAGGCCUAACACAUGCAAGUCGAGCGGAUGAAGGGAGCUUGCUCCUGGAUUCAGCGGCGGACGGGUGAGUAAUGCCUAGGAAUCUGCCUGGUAGUGGGGGAUAACGUCCGGAAACGGGCGCUAAUACCGUAUACGUCCUGAGGGAGAAAGUGGGGGAUCUUCGGACCUCACGCUAUCAGAUGAGCCUAGGUCGGAUUAGCUAGUUGGUGGGGUAAAGGCCUACCAAGGCGACGAUCCGUAACUGGUCUGAGAGGAUGAUCAGUCACACUGGAACUGAGACACGGUCCAGACUCCUACGGGAGGCAGCAGUGGGGAAUAUUGGACAAAGGGCGAAAGCCUGAUCCAGCCAUGCCGCGUGUGUGAAGAAGGUCUUCGGAUUGUAAGGCACUUUAAGUUGGGAGGAAGGGCAGUAAGUUAAUACCUUGCUGUUUUGACGUUACCAACAGAAUAAGCACCGGCUAACUUCGUG
rnacentral:rRNA from 1 species